GCUGGGAUUAUAGGCAUGAGCCACUGCGACUGGCCCAAAAUCAUAUUAUUUAAAAAUCAAAAAGGACUAGCCAGAUCUGUAGGAUACAGAAGGAACUAAUAACCCUGGCUACCUGUGGGGAGGGCCCCAGAGGUGGAAGUGAGACUUUUUAUUGCAUAUUUUUAAUACUUUCUCAAUUCUGAACCACAUGAAUACAUUAACAAUUUUUUUUAAGUUUUUUUUUUAAGGUGAGUUGAAGUCUUGGGAAUAGACUGAAAACUAACAAAACCGGCCCCAUCGCUGAGGACCAGGAUGGGACAAAAACAAGGGCAGAUGCUGUAGUCUGCAAGCUCAUAUCCUCAAAGAGACCAAAAUGCCAUUUAUAAUUUUACUGUCAUAUUCACUGCAGCCAUGUUAUUUAAAUAGUCAUUACAGAAUCAUGAAAAUAACCACAAGAACUUUUAAGUGUGAAAUAAAGGUCUCAUAAAUUUCUGUUCCUUAAAACCCAAGGUACACCAUGAAUUUCUAUGUAUAUUCAUGUAGACUGUCACAUCAACAUCCCAUAAAAUGCAGAAGAAAAUGGUUGUAAUGCAUAUGCCAAGGACAAAUAUUAGUUUACAUAGAAUGCCACAGGAAAACAAACCACUAUAAAAAUAGGCAAAGGAUAUGAACAGGUGAUUCAAAAGAGUAGAGAACUAGCCAAUAAACAUGAACUGGCACUCAACCUCAUUAAUGAGAAAACAAGUUUAAAUUAAAAUGAAAUGCAAUUUUCCACUGGA
rnacentral:lncRNA from 1 species